UUAAAAUGUAAUUAAAAAUAUUAAAUUAUUAAUAGUUAAGUUCUUUAAAAUUAUAAAUUUGGCGGUAUUUUAGUCUUUUCAGAGGAACCUGUUCUAUAAUUGAUAAUCCACAAUUAAAAAUACUUUAAUUAGAAAUUUAUAUAUCGUUGUAAUUAAAUAUUUUUAUAAAAAUAAAUAUUUAAUAUUUUAAAUUAAAAAAUAAAUCAGAUCAAGGUGUAGUUUAUAUUAAAGAAGAAAUGGGUUACAAUAAUAAAAAUUAUGAAUUAUAAAAUUUGAAUUUAUAUGAAAUUGGAUUUGAAAGUAAUUAAAAAAAUAUUUUUUUAAUGAUUAAGCUCUAAAAUAUGU
rnacentral:rRNA from 1 species